UGAAACCAACCGACCCUCUAAGCAAUAAUCCCUAAUUCUAAACUAAUGUCCAAGGUCCUGAGACAAAUUUCUAAAUCACUACGCCUUGCUAAUAGUUGAUAACAUACAUGCUUGGCUCUUAGGAAGAGCUAAGUCAAUUGAAACUUGAAUGUGUACACUGUUGGACAGGGAUGCAGAAAACCAGAUGACAUAAACGAAUGCAAGGAGCAAGAUCAGUUAAUUUCCUUGAUGUAUCAUGCUCAAUAAUCAAAGCCACCAAAUGCAAUCCCGCUAUGAGACUUGGAGUGGCUUGCAAUGUGAGUGUUGGCCACUCUAGUCCCGAAUCUGAGAGAGCAUCUUAUUCUGGAGAAAAAUAUUUGGUAGCGGUAAGCUUAAUUUAUCCUUCCUGACGAUAUCCGCUAUCUGAGAUGGGGGAUUGGAUGGGGAUUGGAUGUCCAUGACUUGGGUAAUUGAACAUGGUGUUUUAGGGCUGCUAAGGAAUGUGCAAGCUUGUUUCCUUCUCGAGGAGCCCAUGUAAGGCCACAGUUUGGAUUCGUUUUCUGUGCCAUUUUUAUGUCUUGGAUUAUUGGGUCUAUUUUCCAAAUUGUACUUCCUGAUUUGAUGGUCUGGGUGAGUAAUUGACAAUCUGUUUCAAUAAUGGCCUUUUGAAUGUCAAGAUUUUUAGCCAUAAUAACUACUUCCCUUACUGCUUGUGCUUUUGCUGACAAGCUCGAGCUUGCUUGAAUCUCUAAUGUUGUUCCACCCAACACCUUCUCUCUAUGGUCUCUGAUCACCACUGCUGUUGCACCUGACUUGGUUCCACUUGAGAAUGAAGCAUCAGUGUUUAGCUUGAUCCAGUUCUGUGGUGGAGGCCUCCAUAUUACAGAUAUUGCAGAUGUCGCAGCAGCUACCAGUUGUCCAUGGUGAUUAUGAAUAGCCACACCUACACCUCUGUUGUGUCUGUCAACCACUGCAGCAUCAACAUUCAUCUUGAAAAAUCCCAGCAAUGGCGCUGUCCAACUAGAGCAGCUCUGGCUUCUCGACGACAGAGAAUGCAGCGCCGUAGGAUAGGGUGCAUUCACGGUGCUAAAUUUUGCAUAGUCCCGCUGCGCGUUCUGAACCAUUAAUUCAGGAGACCUAUGUUCAUCUUCAAGAAGUAAUUUGUUUCUUCUAAUCCAAAAGGCAUGAAGACAGCAAAGCAAUAAACUCGUCUUUACUCUUUCGAUAUUGUUGAUGAUGUAUUGGAACCAUUGUUGUAGGGAGGAUGAUGGCUCAAUUUCUGAUCGGAUUGUGAAUGGGUAGCGAACUAGAAUCGCUUAGUCCAUUCGCACUCUUUGAACAGGUUAAGCUUCGUGGGAAGUGAUUGUUGAAGCAGUAGCCAAAUGAAGUUUAAGGUCCAAGGUGGUGCUUUUGUCUUCCAAUGAAGGGCUCCUAAUGUGGUGGGGUCACUGAUGCGUGGCCAUUCGGCUGGAUUUGAUGGAGUUUCUGCAGCACGAGAAUCAAAGGAGAUGGCAGCGAGGAGCGACACGUACGCGUGACUGACGCGUACGCGUGAUUUGAAGAUUUGCAAAGCGACGCGUCCACGUGACUGACGCGUCUGCGUGACUCGCGAAAAGACCAUCGACACGUACGCGUGACCGACGCGUACGCGUGACAUGCGCAACGUGCAAAAAAAUGCAGAAAGACGCUGGGGGCGAUUUCUGGGCUGUUUUGACCCAGUUUCCAACCCAGAAAACACAGAUUAGAAGCUGCAGAAUGUACAAAUCAAGUGGUCCCCACCCAUCAGCUGAAGACUUGUUAAUUAAUUCGAAUUUAAAUUCAAAUUUGAUUUUUAAAUAGGAAAAAAUAAUAUUUUAAUUUUAAUUUUAGAAAUUUAAUUUUUAAAUUAUUAGGAUUAAUUAUAAAAGGGGAUUCAGAUCCAUCAGAUUGGAAAAGUACAUUUUUACCUGAAUCCUUAUUUUCUACUUUGAACCAUGAGCAACUAAUCCUCCAUUGUUAAGGUUAGGAGCUCUGUCUAUUUCUAUGGAUUGAUU